ACCCCCGACACGGGGUGCCCGGCAGGAUCCGGGCUGAGAUCACACCCGCCGAACUUGAUCCGGUUGAUGCCGGCGGAAGGAUGUUGCCAUGGGCACCG
rfam:Corynebacterium xerosis strain ATCC 373 Contig_34, whole genome shotgun sequence.